rnacentral:tRNA from 1 species
ACCUGGGUGGCUCAGCGGUAGAGCAUCUGACUUUGGCUCAGGGUGUGACCCUGGGGUCCUGGGAUCGAGUCCCGCAUCAGGCU